GUUCUUCUGAGCUAUCUGUACAUUAAAGAAUCCUGAAACAAGGAUUCGGUGUACACGAAAAUAUUAAGCAACAGUUUUUAAAAAAGAUUAUAAUAAGAAAUGUUUAUUCAUCUGUUAAUCUGUCAUUCAAUCACACUGUCAUUUAUAAAACUAAUUCUUCUCACUAUUUUUUUUUCACUGUGUGAUGAUCCUGACACACUGUUUUCUCUAUCCCAUCUUUUCUAGGCCCUUCAGUCUUUAUUCCCUCGUUUGCCUGAAUCAGGUCGAGGGCCCUCUCUGUUUGAGCGCAGUGCAGGGGCCCCAGGGCCUGAUGGGGACAAGCUGAGACUAGACACUUUUCCUUUCCUCGGCUCAGGGGCUCCUUGUUACUCCAAACCUCCAUCCCUGUUGGGUCCUUACCCACGGAACCCCUCUUUUGACUACCCCUGGGGCUUCAACCCCUACCUCCCAGGGGCCUUUUCUCUGAACAACUGUCCCAAAUUGCCCCCAGGCUCCUUCUACUCCUCACAUUUCUAUCCCAACCCGCUCCAAUCCAGCCUGUCUCAGCUGUCUCACCCCUUCUCUUCGCUCUUACCCCCCGGAGACACAACAGGGGCAGAACGUGGUCAAACGGGAGGAACGAACGGCUCUGCAGGCGGACAGCCUCCCAGACUCUGCAUCCCACCAUACCCAGGGAACUUGCCACUGGGUCGGACUGAGCUGGGGAACGGGGGUACGGGUGUGGGCGACCGGGAAAGAGGGGAGGCCAACACUGCCGUAACAGGUGGAGGUCUUGGUUUGGGGUUAGGCCUUGGAUUGGGUUUGGGUGGAGUCGGCGUGGGAAGCGGUGGAGGAGGCCGUCAAAGCCCUUCCGAGCGGAGGAAGGGUGUGAAGCAGGAUCCGGAGUCUGACUCUGAGCUGGAGAUCACUGACCUGAGCGACUGCAGCUCAGAGAACGAGAACGAGCCAGACUUCUCUCUGGGGAAGGAGCCAGGUUUGGGAGGUCGCUCACACCUUCUAGAGGCCAAAUCUAGGGGUCUUGGGGGAGUCCUACCCCCUCUUUCUUCACUGCCUCCACCUGUGUCUCCACAUCCCCUUAAAAGUCUGGGACCCCUGACUCCUCCACCAUCAUCCCUGCCUCCAUCCCUCUCUCCCUCCCUCACUAUGGUCAACAGGCACAGGGAAACAGAGACUCUUAAACUUGCUCACAGUUAA
ensembl:lncRNA